AGCAGCCGCGGUAAUUCCAGCUCCAAUAGCGUAUAUUAAAGUUGUUGCAGUUAAAAAGCUCGUAGUUGAAUUUCGGGAUCAGUACGCUGGUCGUGCCUUGGUAUGUACUGGUGUUACUGGUUCCUACCUUCUGACGAACCGUCAUGUCAUUAAUUUGGUGUGGCGGGAAAUCAGGACUGUUACUUUGAAAAAUUAGAGUGUUUAAAGCAGGCUCGCGCUUGAAUACAUUAGCAUGGAAUAAUGAAAUAGGACGUUCGAUCCUAUUUUGUUGGUUUCUAGGAUUGACGUAAUGAUUAAUAGGGAUAGUUGGGGGCAUUAGUAUUCAAUUGUCAGAGGUGAAAUUCUUGGAUUUAUUGAAGACUAACUACUGCGAAAGCAAUUUGCCAAGGAUGUUUUCAUUAAUCAAGAACGAAAGUUAGGGGAUCGAAGACGAUCAGAUACCGUCGUAGU
rnacentral:rRNA from 1 species